rnacentral:rRNA from 1 species
AAGUCGAGCGGACGGAUGGGAGCUUGCUCCCUGAAGUCAGCGGCGGACGGGUGAGUAACACGUGGGCAACCUGCCUGUAAGACUGGGAUAACUUCGGGAAACCGGAGCUAAUACCGGAUAAUGCAUUUCCCCUCAUGGGGAUAUGCUGAAAGAUGGUUUCGGCUAUCACUUACAGAUGGGCCCGCGGCGCAUUAGCUAGUUGGUGAGGUAACGGCUCACCAAGGCAACGAUGCGUAGCCGACCUGAGAGGGUGAUCGGCCACACUGGGACUGAGACACGGCCCAGACUCCUACGGGAGGCAGCAGUAGGGAAUCUUCCGCAAUGGACGAAAGUCUGACGGAGCAACGCCGCGUGAGUGAUGAAGGUUUUCGGAUCGUAAAACUCUGUUGUCAGGGAAGAACAAGUGCCGGAGUAACUGCCGGCACCUUGACGGUACCUGACCAGAAAGCCACGGCUAACUACGUGCCAGCAGCCGCGGUAAUACGUAGGUGGCAAGCGUUGUCCGGAAUUAUUGGGCGUAAAGCGCGCGCAGGCGGUCUCUUAAGUCUGAUGUGAAAGCCCACGGCUCAACCGUGGAGGGUCAUUGGAAA